rnacentral:rRNA from 1 species
AGAGUUUGAUCCUGGCUCAGAGCGAACGCUGGCGGCAGGCUUAACACAUGCAAGUCGAACGCCAUCUUCGGAUGGAGUGGCAGACGGGUGAGUAACGCGUGGGAACGUACCCUUUGGUUCGNGAAUAUUCUCGGGAAACUGGGAGCAAUACCGGAUAAGCCCUACGGGGGAAAGAUUUAUCGCCAAAGGAGCGGCCCGCGUCAGAUUAGGUAGUUGGUGGGGUAAAGGCCUACCAAGCCUACGAUCUGUAGCUGGUCUGAGAGGAUGAUCAGCCACACUGGGACUGAGACACGGCCCAGACUCCUACGGGAGGCAGCAGUGGGGAAUCUUGGACAAUGGGCGCAAGCCUGAUCCAGCCAUGCCGCGUGGAUGAUGAAGGCCUUAGGGUUGUAAAAUCCUUUCAACGGGGACGAUAAUGACGGUACCCGUAGAAGAAGCCCCGGCUAACUUCGUGCCAGCAGCCGCGGUAAUACGAAGGGGGCUAGCGUUGCUCGGAAUUACUGGGCGUAAAGCGCACGUAGGCGGAUAUUUAAGUCGGAGGUGAAAGCCCAGGG